GUAAGAGUACCCGCUGAACUUAAGCAUAUCAAUAAGCGGAGGA
rnacentral:rRNA from 1 species